rnacentral:rRNA from 1 species
UACGAGUGCCCCAAGCGUUAUCCGGAAUCAUUGGGCGUAAAGGGUGUGUAGGCGGUCGUGUUAGUCUCAUGUUAAAACUCCUGGCUUAACCAGGAAUCUGCAUGGGAAACGGCACAACUAGAGGAUGCGAGGGGUCUGUAGAACUCAUGGAGUAGGGGUGAAAUCCGUUGAUAUCAUGGGGAAUACCGAAAGCGAAGGCAGCAGACUGGCGCAUUCCUGACGCUGAGACACGAAAGCGUGGGUAGCGAAUGGG